GGCUGGGGGCGGGCCUUCCGCAGACUCAGGGUCUCAGGAGCUGCUGCCAGGGCAGGGCAGAGUAUUGCAGUAAUUAUCCUUCUCCGCUAAUGAGGAUUAGGCCGUGGUUCACUCGAGCCCCGCCCCAAUAGAAAUCUAAUUCCAACCGCGGCCCACUCAGAAGUCGGUCGCCACCUUUGCGCCUCAGCCCCUCUGGACUCCGGCCCCCAGAAGGCGGUGCGGCACGGUGUGACCUGCGCAGUGGCGUCCGUUAGAAGACUCCAGCCUGAUAUCUAUGGGACCUGAGUCCACACUGUGGAGGGCACAAGCUGUGGGAGGGCAUGGAAGACACACCUCAGAGACUCCCCCAGUCCUGCCACCCUGCGGGAGACAUUUCAAAGGAAUCAUAAACUUAUGUGACCAGCAGGGAGGACAACACCAAAGAAACUUUUCCUACCUAAAAUCAGCGGCUGUCCAGAGCUAGCACCUGGAAGGAGACACUCCCUCUCCUGGAGUCACAUCUUCACUGGAAGGCAGGUGGGAGCUCACUGCUGUGACCCACGUAUCCUCCUGUCUCUGCAUCUCUAUCCUGCUACUUUGUCUGACUGCAUCUUCCUCUGUUCCUUGGUCAGUGUGUGAGAAGAGAACGUUGAACAAGUCACAUCCUUGUCACUCUGAGUCAGAACUCUCAUUUGACUUGGAAGAUUUGUGCUUCCGUUUUUUCUUCUUUUUCUUUUCUUUUUUCCUUUUCUUAUGCUUUUCUUUCUUCUUCUUUUUCUUGUGUUUCUCUUUACCUUCGGAGGAACUGGAGCUGCUCCCAUCUUCAUCUGAGGUAGAAUCCUCCAGUAACUGUUUUAACUGCUGUAUCCUAAACAUUCAAAAUUGAUCAAAGAACAGUGAGUUUUAGCUUUAACUUAUACGGUUUCUUAGAUUAAUAUGUCAUUCAAAAGCAGUAUAGGAGGAAGAUGAAUAACCAUGUUACAAAGACAGUAUUUUUCUUUUUACCUGUUUUCUCCAUUCUUCUCCACUGAAUGCCUACUUUACGUGACUGUAACCAAUGUACAAGCCAUUUUGUAUUUUUAUUGUCCUAGACAUUUCUCCUGUCUCCACAGUCCUUACAAUUGUAAUUUCUAACAGACGCAUACUUUACUAAACCAUUCCCCUACUG